rnacentral:rRNA from 1 species
UGCAAGUCGAGGCGAGCGGAACCAACAGAUUUACUUCGGUAAUGACGUUGGGAAAGCGAGCGGCGGAUGGGUGAGUAACACGUGGGGAACCUGCCCCUAAGUCUGGGAUACUAUUUGGAAACAGGUGCUAAUACCGGAUAAUAAAGCAGAUCGCAUGAUCAGCUUUUGAAAGGCGGCGUAAGCUGUCGCUAAGGGAUGGCCCCGCGGUGCAUUAGCUAGUUGGUAAGGUAACGGCUUACCAAGGCGACGAUGCAUAGCCGAGUUGAGAGACUGAUCGGCCACAUUGGGACUGAGACACGGCCCAAACUCCUACGGGAGGCAGCAGUAGGGAAUCUUCCACAAUGGACGCAAGUCUGAUGGAGCAACGCCGCGUGAGUGAAGAAGGUUUUCGGAUCGUAAAGCUCUGUUGUUGGUGAAGAAGGAUAGAGGUAGUAACUGGCCUUUAUUUGACGGUAA